rnacentral:misc_RNA from 1 species
UUAAGUUCAGCGGGUAUUCCUACCUGAUCCGAGGUCAACCUUGUAAAAGUUCGUCGCCGAAGCGACUUAAAAGACCGGGCCUGGAGAGCUGACCUAGUACGUGCCCGAAAGCUCAGUGUACAGGAGUCCUCACAGACGCCGUCAUUAUCUUUGAGACGGGCAGGGCACGAAGGCCCCGCCGACGUCCAACAACAAGCUGG